AGCUCAUGCGAGCGACCCCCGGGCGGCGGCGGCGGAGCGGGAGCCGGAGCCCGAGCGGCGCGGGCGGCGGCGCAUCGAUGCGCUGCGGGCUCGAUUGCGUCUCCCUGGGCCAGCUCUCAGGCCGGGAAUGGGGCGGCCGCGACGGGGCCGGCUCCGGGCGCUGCCGGGCGGCGGCGGCUGGAGCGCGGGGGCGGCCUCCGGGCCCACUGUCCCCAAGGCGGCCCUGCGCCCUGGCGCUCCGGCUGGGGCUCUGGCGCUCUCGCGGGCCCCGAGGCCGACAGUCCCGGCGAGGGCGGGCGCCCCGCGCUCCGGCACCGGCUGCCUGAGCGCUCCUGGAGCAGCAAACCCCAGACUUCUUCCUCCUCUCCUUCCUUCCUUCCCCCCACUUAUCUUUUUCUUUUUUUAGUCUCUUUCUCUCUCUUUUUCUGCCCUGUGUCCUUUUUAUUUUUUCUCUACGACUGUUUUUGCAAGUUUGUUUCAAAAGUUCACAGCGUGCUUUCUUUUCUUUUAGACCGGGAGACAGUGAUCUCACCCACACGGUAAGAUCAAAAGUCUCCGCUCGCCCAGCCUGCGGGCUUGGGCUGGGUCCAGACGUCUCCCAGGAUGCAGAUGCGCCGCCGCUGGCCUCCCCGGCUAUAAAGCCGCCUCCAGCGCCUUUCCGCGCGCAGGAGCGCUCGGAGUUGUGGGGUGCGGACCCCAGGCGGGGCAGGGAGUCCGAAGCGGGCUGCGGCGGGGCUCUGGGGCUGGCGGACUCGGGGACUGAGGCGCCGUGCGCGUUGGGUGCCCGCCGCCGCAGAGGCCAGAACCGCUACUUCUCCAGGCCCGGGAGACGCGGCCGUGGAGCGUGAAACGCUUCUUGCAAGCGAGGAAACGGUGAGUUGGCCGACACCGCCGGCGGCCUCACCAUUCUGGUGGCCGCGCUGAGCUCCUGUCGCCUGGAGGCGGGUUGCGCCGCACGGGGUCAGCUCCCGCCGGCUCCCCGCUCACCUUCGAAGCUCCCACUUAGGCGCGCCCGGUGCGGCGUGUGCACAGCGCGGGGCGCCGCACACGGAAGCGUGGAGUUCUCCCUGGUCGCGCUUUUCUCCUCCUUUCCAUCCCCUCGCUGUUCUUGCAAACCUCUGUUCCCUCGGCCCCCUCCCACCGCGGGCCGCGGCCUGAACUCCGGUCUCCGCGUAGCCGGCCGCCGCCGUUGGUAGCUGCCUGGCCCUCCCCCGCUCAGGCGCCGAGGGCUGUGCGAUCCGCCCUAACAUCUGUCCGUCCAACCAUUGGCGCAUCCAUCAGUGUCAAUGGGCUGCACAUUGCAGCGACAGCCCGCCACGCACAACACGGGCUAUGCGGAGUGCACGCCGCAACCAUACUGCCAUGUCGGGACACGCAAAAAGGCCCCCGGCCUGUCUUGGCACAGCAUGAAUCCCUAAUCUGUGUUCUUUCAGCCACAUGUAUCCACUCCCACUUAAUAUCUGGACCCGGAAACAUGAAUAGUUUUGCAGGCCAUUCUAGGGAUGGAAUUGAAGGAAGAGGGGCAGUGUCGCCCGAGUCAUUAUUUUCCACCAGGUUUUCUCUGCCCUUCGGUGGGCUGGGUGUGGCUAGGAGAGAAGGAAGGAAGACUUCCCAAAUGCGCACCAAGCACACUGCAGAUCCGGAAGCUACCUGGAUGCAAGGGCUUAAACUCCCUUCACCUGGGCCUAGGAUGUGUCAUCGAGGUCGCUGGGCAGGUUUUAGCCAGGAGGUCUCGAGCUAAAACUUUUUGGCCCCGCCUGGCUGCUGGGAGACAUGGCCUGAUGGAGAGGAGCUGGAGAGCGGAGGAAAACGUUGAUCCCAGUGAGAACUAAGGGCCAGAUUUAGGGAGAAAUAGUGUCUGGAUGGCAGUAAGUCUGUAAUUCACAUGUUGUUUACAAAGGGAGAAAGGGCAGGGCUGUAGGUUUGAGAAGCCGGAGGUUUGCGCGGAGUUCCGUGUGCCCAUUCCCCGAGAGUGCCGCUCUUGGCUGUAGUUGUUUGUUCUACCUGAUUUUGCCUCUUGCCUUCAACUCCCCCAUAACCCCUCCCCAAAUGUCCGGAGGGCAAAUAUAUGCGCAUUCCUCCCUGAUCAAUCCAGCCAGACCAAAGGGCCUUCCCUCUCCUCCCCCUAAGAACUUAAUGGGAAGAGUGUACGGGGACCUACUCUUGGGACAUCUGCAGGGCGGCUGUACCAGGCAUUUUACCUGACUUUAUUCUUACCGCAAAGAUAUCUGUCUCGGUACCUGGUGCCCCCUCAGAGUCCACUACACAAACGGGUAAAAUUCCGCGCGGCUAUUCAUUUCGCCAUUUGCGAGUAACAAGGGGAAAAGUAGCCGCUUCUAGGAGAGCACUGAGGUAUGCUCGGUUCGGUUCCCGAGGAGGCCAGAAGCCGCCGCGGCGGCGCGGGCUGGAGCUCCCUCUUGCAGGGAGACACCGCGCUCUAGGGUGCGGGCUUCGCCGCCCACAUCCAGUGGUCGAACUGUUUUCACGCUAGACUAGAGGGCGGAAAAGUCUGCUCCCGCGGAGAAGCUAGAAUUCUAUGGAAUGUACACUGUGUAGAAAUCUUUUCACCCCACUCUUCAGAGUUGCAGCUUAUCUUUGAAAAACAACAGGCUCUGGCCCUGCAAGCCCCUGGUAACUUCUACCCGCCUGAGUCACUCUGAAAAGUAAGCCACCUAGGCCAGUGAGAUGUCCCCACCUUUGGCAGGUGCCGCGUUUCCGGGAACAUUAAAAAAAAAAACCCUAAAAAUAGAAGGAGGAAAAAUGAGCAAAGGCGGUGGGACGACUCACCGAAACACCGAGGUGCAAAUGUCCAUAGGAGAAACUGGCAUUCGCAUGGCAGCCAGGUGGCUCACCCAACAGCUGGGUGGUAACCUUGUGAUCCCCAAACAUCCCCCAGGGCCAUGAAGGCAGUGCUGACCCCCACGAUUGCACCUCAGGCCCAGUGGAAUCCCGCUCCUCCUCCAUAGCGGUGCUAUGUAAUCAGUAGAAAAUCAGUGGAAAAGCUCCCAAAUGAAGCUGCUACAGGUCAGGGGUUAGAAAUCUGCUUCCGACUUUUUGAACGCAAGGAAAUCGGGACACCUGUCCCCAGGGCUACCUGUGCCCCACCUCAGGAUCAUUCAUGACCUUAGCUACCGGGAGCCCCGCCCGGGUAAGUUUUUAAAAGAGAGAGAGAAAGAAAAAAGUCACAUGCAGGUGUGGCUAGGAACAGGUGUGUGCUGUGGGGACGGGCACUUGGCUGGCAACACACCACACAAAGUCACAAAGUCUGUGCCAGAAAGGAGUAGCCAGGCCACCGCCGGGAGGCAGCCGAGGUUGUGUUUGAGGUGGUGAUUGAGGGCAGUAGGUGACAGCUCGACCCAAACAAGGCCAAGUCUUGUCCUUAUCUGGGGUGGCCACUGAGGGAAAAGACUUAAGGGAAAGAAGGUGUCCUCAAAGCUACCAUUACAAGAUGAGGAGCUAGAGCGGGCUCCGGUCCCAGGCACCUAGGUCCUAAGCCUUGAUCUUGGAGAGUGGUUCUCGGAGGGAGGCUUGGGCCACCUGGAGGGACUGCGCACACUGAGUAGUACCCUCUGGGAGGCUGUACCCCCUUUCAAAGUGUGAGGGCAUUUGCCCAGGGUGUAGACUUUUAGGGAGCCCAGGGCUGGGCAGCACCAGGGUAGAGAGGCACCAGGUGGGUGCCCUCCUGCCUGCACUCACCUGGAAUGCUGGCAUAUGGGUUUUUCGCCUUCCUCACGCCUCCCCACACCACAUUCUGGGCUAGGCAGUGUCGAGGAGGUGCCUUGGGUUCAGGGAAGCUUGCCACCUGCGCACCUCAACCAGGAAUUGGGCCCCAGAAUCUCAGCCCCUGCCCAAACAGGAAGGAUAGGGACCCUGGCCCUCGCCAGGUGGUAAAUUGUUUGCUAAAAGUGCAUUUACACAGCGGCGAAGUUUGUUUCUCUUUUACCGGUAGCUUUGUUUUAACGAACCAGAUGUUUUGUCUGUAAAUUCUCCCAAGAACUUUUACAGUUUUGACGUGAAAUAAACCUUCGAAAAUCAGAAGAGUAUAUUAAUACCAGUUCUGUGGGGCCUCAGGAGAGCUGAGUCAGGUGUGCCUGGAUGGGAGCUGGGGGUGGGAAUACAAUCUUUGGAGAGAAGUAGGGGGCUUCUCUUGGCCCAAGGUCAAGAAUUGGUUUGGGGGAGGUGAAGUGCCUCCCCGACUCCCAAAACAGGCACACACACACGCAUUGUCACACCAGAGUAUGCACUCCCAGACCUCCUCCAACCAGGCAUAGCUUGCUACUUUGUAAAUUUCUUGUGGCUUGGGGCACAGAGAUGUGGCUCAACUUUGCAGACUGUGUCCACUGCAUGCCGCUGCCGUUUUCCACGAGGACCGCCUGACUGAAAGGCAAAGGGGCCUUCGAUCUUCUUCCCGGGGCAGCUUUGAUGCCUGAGUGUGCGGGGCCGGGGCCAGGGCAGAGCAGGGUGGAAGCUGGUGCCCCUGUCUGGCCCGCCCUUAACUCCUGGGCACAACUAGAUUCGGGAGAACUUGGGGUGGAAGCCGACCUGGUCUAGGAAGCCACAGCCUGCAGGCUUCCCUCUCCAAUGCCUCAUUUUUUCCGAUUUAGGAUUUCCAGGCAGUUAUAAACACCUUUAAAAAAAAGACCCACUUAACAAUACACCUAAAAGAGGGAGGGAAGGAAGGAAGGAGUACAGUUAUCACAGGCGUGUGGGGAGAGGGAAACCAGGUCUGCCUAGAAACCCACCUUCUGGUUGUGUGAGUCAGAGCGGCCACUUUCUCGGGUUUCCCAAGACAGGAGAUGGCGAUUUUCUACUCCCUCCCCUCUCCCCAAGAUUUCCAGUGCUCUGAGUCUCGUAUCUUCAGAUACCUCUUUCUUCCUUCAUUCUCUUUCGUUCAAUCAUCUACGGAACUUUCCAAAACUUUUUUUUUAGGAGAGCAAAGAUUAAAUAAAGAAAAUAAACCGUCUUUGUAUUUCAGUCUAAGGAGGACAGAUGCACAUUAAACUCAGUUUGGAGCGCUUAACUCCAGGCGAAAUGCCCUUUUAUCAAAUCCCACGCGUCGACUUGGGUUGCGCUGGGAAUUUCACGAAUUCCUCGCUGCAGCGUGGCGUGGUUUACCCCCACCCCCACCCCACUUUGGGUGAAAUGGAUUUUUGGAAACCAUUUAAGCAGAGCUAAAAAUAAGGAGGGGGGGAACCCUACACUAGAGAUAGCUGCAGCCACCUAGGGGCUCACCCCUGGCCGGGAGCGAGCAGCUAUUUGCUAGUUGUAGCUCAGGGGUGCCCAACUCUUCCCGUGUGGUUGCGCCAGCUGCCUCGCACUGCAGGUAUCUGAAUCAUUACGUGGGCAACCCGAUGCAGCUCUGAACCCUGGCUCUUUGAAUGCUGGAAUCCUGAAGGAGGAGGAGGUCCCAGAAAUCAAACCACCAGGUCUUAGCUGACCAGACAGCCCAGCUUUCUGAGGCUGGUGACCUCAUUAACUGGUCAAGGAAUUUGCAAGACCAGGAAGAAUCUCGUUUCCCAGUUCUUCUUUCCUACAUUGCUUUUCUCCUGUGUCUUCAAUGUUAGGGUUUUGUGUUUGUGCCUGAAUUUACAAUUUACAAACGGGGAAGACAGAGCCUAAGUUUCAGCAGGGCAGGUACAAAAGAGAGGGACAACACUCUGGGGGCCUCAUUCUUUCACGUUUUUGUUUCUUGAAAUUUGAUGGAUAUCACCUGUAGUUGGGCAAUAGGAGGGCCAGGGUGACUGGGGACGUGGUAGCCCGAAGGGUUAGAUAAUAUGGCAUGCAGGUAGUCUCUGAUCUCCAGGGCUUUGAAAACACCAAGAUUUUCCUCCUUUGCAGAGCAAUCCUAAAUUCUGCCUUCUCCCUUUUCUGCUGCCUCUUCUCUUUUCCCCAUCUCUUUCUGCGUUUCUUUUUCUGUUUUCUUUUUGUGUCCCUCUCUUCCAACAGUCCCUCCUCCACCUUUAUAAGACUUCUCAAAGGUUAUUUAUUUAAGGUCUACCAAGUGCUAGCCCCAAACAGGUCCAGUCCUUCUCCCUGUGGCAAGACGGAGGCUGUUACUGCGUGCAAAUAGUGAGGGAACAAAGUAGUUUGGAGUUUUUUUCCAGCUUUUUUAGGUGGGGGGAAGGGAGGGAGGUCAGAAAUAGGUUGACACUUGGUUUGAAAUAAAAGAACAUGUUAAGAAGUUUCGAAGCUGCCAAUAAAACCCUUUAAGUGGCUUGUGAUUCAGUGCCUGGAGUUGCGGGGAUGGCAUUGGUAAAUGACUCUAAUGCCCAAAGAAAAAUAUUACAAAUGCCGCUGUCUCAGCCACCAAUCGGGCGCCGCUCUCCUGCGCGGGCGAUGGCUCCUCUCUGGCGCGGAGGGCACCCACAUUUGCAUGAUAAAUUGACCAGACUGGCGGCAGCCAAUGAAAUAUUCAAAUUAGGCCGGGUGGCGGUAGUAGGGGUGGAGUCCCUGGGGCUGCCCCUUGGCGUGGCGGCGGGAGCGGGCGCUACCACCUGUCCGUCAGCGCCCUCUGGAGGCGGGACAGCGCGGGCGGCCGCUCUGGCCCAAAAGACGAGAUGGGGGGUUGGGGGUUUGGGAUGGAAGGGGGUUUGGGAGGGGUGAUGGUGGGGUCCGGGUGGUGCUUCGCGGCCCCAGGAGGCUUUCCGGCUGGCCUUGUGGACUAGGCAUACAGCAGGGUCUCCACAUGCCUCUUGCCCUUAAAAGUGUUGAUGGAUUGCAGAAGUGGAUGGUGACCCCAAGGAGGGGUUUCAGAAAGACUCCAGCCUCCUUCACCCAACCACCUUCUCUAGGUUCCCCUAACAAACCCAGUACUUAAGUUAAAAUCGUGUAUUUGCUCUUGGUGACUUAGCUUUAAGACAAGAUUCUUGCCCACCGCAGACCACAUGGCCAGCUUUCCCAAAGGCCCUCUGAUAAUGAAAUGAUGGAGCAGAUAUGUCAAACUUUCCAUCUUGCCCUGAGCCAACGACUCUGCACCCUCACAGGCCAGGGCACUUUGGAGGGCACCCUGCCUGGAGCCCCAAACCUUGGCUAAGCUGUGGGAGCCCAGGCAGGGGCAGGUAGUGCCUGGAGGCUGGCUUCAGAUGGCAGAACUUCUCACCUGGGAAAAUGCUUUCUGGAAGAAGCACCCAGGCCUCAAGGCAGCUCCAGUGAGGGGGCAAAAAGGGAUAUACAUAAGGCAUAAGGUGCUGGCCAUGGUUAGGUAGGUGCUCAGCCAGGAAGAUAGGGCAGAUUCACAUGGGGGAGAUUGGCUCGGUGAUGAGACCACUUCUGAUCCCACCAGAACCAGGCCCAGCUCUUCCUGGAGGUCCUGACUUAAAGGGGACUUUUGCAUGGGAGCCAAAGAACAGUGGAUGUCUCUUGUCUGCUGAUCAUCUCUUCCCUUCCCCCACCCCAUAUUCCAUCCCAUGCCAGAUCCCUAGGCUGUGCCUGUUAGAGCUACUGGAGCACCACACGGACUUGCCUUUAAAGCAGAAUUUUUAGAAGUGCAGUUGCCUUUCUUUACUCUGCUGUGGGCUGCUGAACACCUUGUUCUUUCUCCAUCUCAUCAGGGCUUGGAGUUGGUUCCUAGCUGUCUCUGGGAAUGCUCGAUCCCCAUCUCUGUUACCAGCCAAAAGGGUCUGCAGGAGGUGGUCUGCACUCCAGUCAGCAGCCCUCUCAGUACCUCUUCCCCAGACAUAGUCAAAGCAAGUCAUUCAUCUGCAGCCAGUCUCCCCUGUCCAUUCACCAAGGAGAGCCUGGGGAUAGGACCACUCAGAGCCUGGCCAGGCUGGCUCACUAACUGUGUGUAAAUACGCACAGCAGAAAGAGUAGGUGCUGAACACACAUGUGGGAGACAGUGAAUUUUUACUCUCAAUCACCUUAUAUAUAUUAUCAAUAGUUUCAAAGUAUGUUGCCCGAAGGAUGUUAAUUCCUAAGAAGGCUUUUGUAUCGUUUGGAGUUUUGAGGAGUGUGUUGGCUGAAGAGAAGAGGGUCUGGCCCCAGGCUUGAUGGGAAUGCAUGGGGUAAACAGCUGGUGACAGAGGUACAAAAGGGGCCUCUCUACUUACUAAGAGAAUCUUCCAUCCUGGCUGGUUUUAGGACCUGGGGUGGGGUUCCCAUCAGGAGGAGACCUAAGGAAGGAGUAGGACCCUUCCUAGAUGGCUGAGUCAACUUAUACGACAGGGCAGGGAAACCUGUCUUGGAAGCCCGGGAGCCCUCCUUCCUCCUCCCCAUCCUCAGGCCUCAACUGAGACUUGAAAAUGGACCAGAGUCUUCCUCCAACAGUGAAAUUCAUUAAAGAGUCACUCCUGUCUAGAAUGUGCAGAAAUGCAAGCCUCUCUCUUUCUCUCUCUCUCUCUCUGUUUCUCCACCUUGAGGAUGCUGUAUCUAGAGCCCAUAUAGGGACAAGAAAGUAGGCAGUGAAAGCAGGAAAGAAGUAGAAGGCUGGCUGUCAUCCAGCCCUGCAUCCAGUCGUAUCUCAGCUGAACUGUGCACAAUGAAUGAGGAAGUAAAUGACAGGUGAAAGACCAAGAGAGUGAAGCUAGUCAGUUUCUCUGAGGCGAUAGGUAUCAGUGAGUAACCGUAAGGAUCACACCCACAGUGGGUAUGCCCCGCAGAUGGAUAUAUGUGCAGCAAGCGGUACCUUGCAGGGGAAUGCAAGCUCCAACUGUGGUGAUGAGCCUCCGGCCCAUAAGUAACCCAGUGAGCCUGAGCAGGUCACUCACUCUCUUUGAACCUUGUCUCCAUCUCUAAAACAGGACAGCUUUCUCCAUCUUAAACACCAAGUAGGAAUUCAGUGUGGAAACCUUCCAUCAAAAUUGGAGAUGCCUUGGCUGGGCCCUGUGGUGGCUCAUGCCUGUAAUCCCAGCACUUUGGGAGGCUGAGGCAGGCAGAUCACUUGAGUCCAGGAGUUUGAGACCAGCCUGGGCGACAUGACAAAACCACAAAAAAUACAAAAAUUAGCUGGGCAUGGUGGCAUGCACCUGUAAUCUCAGCUACUUGGGAGGCUGAGGCAGGAGGAUCGCUUGAGCCUGAAAGGUUGAGGCUGUAGUGAACCGAGAUCGCACCACUGCACUCCAGUCUGGGCAACAGAGUGAGACCCUGUCUCAAAAAAAAAAAAAAGUAGAGAAAUAGAGAUGCCCCUUGAACCCAUGGGUUUUUGGGACUACAUUCUGGAAGCUUUCAGAGUAAGACCAGAGUUUGAAAGAGGCAUUGUGUCAUUAGCCAUGUGCCCGUGGGCAAGUCACAGUAGAGUCUACUUCCCACGGCACUUGUGAGGCUCAUCUGGGAUUAUGUGUGUCCGUGCCUUGGCAGAGAGCUUGGUGAAGAAUGGUAGUUGUCCAAUAAAUGGUACCCCAUUAAGUUGGUGUGCAGGGUGGCCACAGGGCCAGACCACCCUGAAAAUAAAGGCUUAUAUUUGGGCUGAGCCUGGAUGCACCUGAGAUUACAAGCAGGUGCUUGGAAUGUGGUGAAAAAGAAAGACAGGAGAGAAUGGCUGAAGGCAGCGUGCAGUCCACCUGACUUUCUGGGAAGAUUGGGCAUUUGCAGGGCUGAUAAGUCAGGUUCUUCCAGGCCUUUCUGUGAGCUCAUUAGAGGAAGGGGUCUGGUGACUGAUAUUUCUAUUUUCCCUGUUAGUAGCUGCUGGAAUCUGCACCAUCCAGGUCAGAUGGAAAAUAGAAGGCGGGAAAAUCUGACAGUCUCAUUGAUUUGCUCUCUUUGCCAUCGCCACUCUUGAGAGGAAGAAAUGUGACUUCAAAAUUGCAAUUAGGAACCAGCCUGCUAAGGAGUCCUCUCAUGAGCUCCUGUGCUGUGCGGAGCACAGGCCCAUCUCAUCUCAUUUCCUAAGGAGACUUAACCAUGUGGAUUUGUGUUGCUGGUUCACGAUCAAAGUUCUAGACUAUGAAAACAUUAGUUUCAUGAAAACAUUAGGAUUUUGUCCACCCAAUUGUUUGGAUAUCAUGAAGAAUGCCGCUGUGAACAUGCUUGUUCCUAUGCCAUAACUCACAUGGAUGAAGAAGAUGAGGCUUGAGAGACGAAGGAAUGAAUGAAGGGUAUCACAGCUGUUAGAAGGGUUAGAUCUUGUAUUUGGACUCAGGUAUGCCUGCCCUGGAACUUGGCUCUCCCACACCUGGUGCUGGGCGCACUAGGAGACGUCACGAGGCUCAGAGAUGCCACCCUUCCUAGAACGGGCGCUGUGCCUCUCUUCUCCACACACUGCAGGGGGGACAGGCACUGCAUUUUCAGAUAAGUUCUGUGUGCAUCAGGGGCUUGGUGGGAAAGAGAGGACACACUCAGAUUAGGAUUAUUCAUGGAGGAUUCUCCAAAGAGGCUAUUUGGAAAGGUGGAGGGAACGGUGAAGGAGAGCACAAGAGAAAAUGAGCAGAACCGUUACUUCCUCACGCCUGAAGGGGAUGGGUUACUGGAAGCCAGGAGGAGAGUGUGGUAAGAGCCACUUUUAGAGGAGCUUUCACCUUCAGGAGAAAGUCAGGGCCCAAGAAGACCCACAGGGAGGUGACCAGGGAAUGGCAUACUUGGACUACCCUCUCUUCUCUUCCUCCACUCUCCUGCCAGGGCUCCGCAUUGGAUAAACCCCUGCAGGGGUGAGUGAAACUGCCACCCAGGUCUGCCUCCCAGGACACAGCCCAUGGAGAACUCUAAGGCAAGUGGCAGAAAACUAGCACAGGCGCAGUGCGUCUUGCAAAGCACCCAGCCUGUGCCGGCUCUGGGCUGGAAAUGGGAAGAGAGGAGACCAUAGCACUGCCCUCAAAGAUCUUAGAGUCUGUGGAGGAGUCAGGCAGAGAGAGGGGGUGUUCCCUUGGCAAAGGACUCCAUGAGCAGAUGCAGGCCAUGGGCGACGCUCCUGCAGAAGCUUUGGGGUUUGCCGCAUGUGCCUGGGAGGAGCGCGCCCACCUUGACAUGCCUCGCCUCCUGUUGCCAUUGACAACGUGAAGGCAAACUCCUGGGGCUGGGCCUUUUUCCUUGAGAUAAAAUAUGUAUAAUUCUCUGUUAUCAAAUGAUUAUUAAACAAAAUCUAAUUGAAAAAAUAAAAAGAAGAAAAGAGAAGUCAUUUAUCAUCCUGUUCUCCAAAGACAACUGUGAACGGCUUGGUGGAACUCCUUCCAGUGGCUUUCCUCGGAGCCUUGCCUCUGUGGAUGUGAUGGAGUCUUGCUUUGUCACCAAGGCUGGAAUGCAGUGGCGCGAUCUCAGCUCACUGCAGCCUCCACCUCCUGAGUUCAAGCUGUCCUCCCACCUCAGCCUCCUUCAAUAGCUGUGACUACAGGUAUGCACCACCAUGCUGGACUAAUUUUUGCAUUUUUUAGUAGAGACGGGAUUUCACCAUGUUGGCCAGGCUGGUCUUGAACUCCUGACCUCAGGUGAUCUGCCCGCUUCGGCCUCCCACAGUGCUGGGUUUACAGGCAUGAGCCACCACGCUCAGCCUUCUACCGUUUAAAUGUUUAGGUUAUAUCCUGUUUCAUUAAUAUUAAAGAAUGCUAUAAUUAAAAACUUUGUGUAUAAAGAAUUUUUCCGUGUUUCAGAUUAUUUAUCCAGAAUGAUGUCUCUAAAAUAAAGCUACUAGAGGUUGAAGUAUCUAGCCCAGGGCCAGCCACAGAACAGACACAACUUGGUUGAUAACUAUUGUUGUUCAGUGGUGAGUGUUUAUGUAAAGCUCUUCUGCAAUUAAGAACUGCUCCAAAGACCUUCCUCUAGAACAGCGCUUGAAUAUAAUGUGAGCCACGUAAUUCUCAAUGUUAUAAUAACCACAUUUCAAAAAGCAGACGCAAUUGAAAUUAAUUUUAAUAAUACCUUUUACUGGAGCCGGGCAUGGUGUCAUGCCUGUAAUCCCAGCACUUUGGGAGGCCGAGGUGGGCAGAUCACAUGAGCCCAGGAGUUUGAGACCAGGCUGAGCAACAUGGCAAAGCCUCAUCUCUACAGACAAACACAAAAAUUAGCCAAACAGGUGGUGUGUGGCUGUAGUCCAAGCUACUAGGGAGGCUGAGGUGAGAGGAUCGCUUGAGCCUGGGGGGUUAAGGCUGCAGUGAGCCAAGAUUGCACCACCAUACCCCAACCUGAGUGACAAAGUAAGACCCUGUCUCAAAAAAAAAAAACCAUUAAUUAAUUAAAACAAACAUAAAAAUACAUUUUACUUAACCAAUUAUAUCUAAAAUAUUAUUUCAACAUAUGAUUAUAUGUAAUCAACAUAAAAUUUAUCAAUGAGAUAGUCUACAUUUUUUCCCCAUGUAAACCUUUGAAAUCUGAUGUAUAGAUUUUAUGCUUACAACACAGCUCCAUUCAAACCAGCCUCAUUCCCAGUGUUCAGUGGCCACGUGGGUGGCUGAUAGCCACUGUGGACUGUGCAGGUCUAGGGCAAGGAACCCACCAGAGAUAUUUGCCACUGUUGGCAUCUUCACCUAGCCCUGAAAUCCAGCCACCUUUUAAUGCCUCCCCGAACCCCCUUACUGGCGUUCUGGACUGAGGGUGGACCAGGUGGCCAGGUGUGACAUGACUUCUGUACCUGGACAUUUUUACCGGUCGUCCUCAAUCCUGCCUUGACCUUGGCCUUAGCCAAUCAAAGCAUCCCUCUAUCCCAGUGUGCCUGGCACUGGUUCAUUCAGAGAUAUUGCACACUUCCUUCAUGGUAAGCCCUGGGCCUGACCCUAGGGAUACAGGUGGACAAACAGAACUUUCUUGUAAAAUUUAAUUACAGAACUUGUCAGUGCUUUUAGGGUCUAGUGGGGGAGACAGACUUUAAUCAAAUCAUUGCCCAAAUAUAUAUAGUUUCUAAAUGUGGUUAAGUCCUACAAGGGAAAUGCACUUUUAAAAAUGCUAACACUGGGUCAUGGCAUGAGUGGCCUGCCCUGAAGGCAUUUAAUAAAGGUGGCCCAGCCCCUGGCCAGGCUGUCUUGGGGAACAUUCAUGUGAAAGAUGAGUGUGAGAUAAGAGGAUCUCAGUUUCCUUCUGGUAUCCAGGGUCCCUAAGCUACAUUAACAGAGUUUCUAGGACAGACAGUAGCUCACCGGUUCCUGUGUCUGGGGCCCAGUUGAGCAAUUUGUGUUUGUCAUCUCUAAAAAGUAUUGCGGCCAGCUGGAAUAUAAAAGUAAUGAGGAAACAGGCCUGAUGCGGUGGCUCACGCCUGUAAUCCCAGCACUUUGGGAGGCUGAGGUGGGCGGGGGAUCACCUGAGGUCAGGAGUUCGAGAUGAGCCUCACCAACAUACUAAAACCUGUCUCUACCGAAAAUACAAAAUUAGCCGGGCAUGGUGGCACACACCUGUAAUCCCAGCUACUU